rnacentral:rRNA from 1 species
AUUGAACGCUGGCGGCAUGCCUUACACAUGCAAGUCGAACGGUAACGGGCCUUCGGGUGCCGACGAGUGGCGAACGGGUGAGUAAUACAUCGGAACGUGCCCGAUCGUGGGGGAUAACGAGGCGAAAGCUUUGCUAAUACCGCAUACGAUCUACGGAUGAAAGCAGGGGACCGCAAGGCCUUGCGCGGACGGAGCGGCCGAUGGCAGAUUAGGUAGUUGGUGGGAUAAAAGCUUACCAAGCCGACGAUCUGUAGCUGGUCUGAGAGGAUGAUCAGCCACACUGAGACUGAGACACGGCCCAGACUCCUACGGGAGGCAGCAGUGGGGAAUUUUGGACAAUGGGCGCAAGCCUGAUCCAGCCAUGCCGCGUGCAGGAUGAAGGCCUUCGGGUUGUAAACUGCUUUUGUACGGAACGAAAAGCCUUCUUUUAAUACAGGAGGGUCAUGACGGUACCGUAAGAAUAAGCACCGGCUAACUACGUG